AGCGAACGCUGGCGGCAGGCCUAACACAUGCAAGUCGAACGAACUCUUCGGAGUUAGUGGCGGACGGGUGAGUAACACGUGGGAACGUGCCUUUUGGUUCGGAAUAACUCAGGGAAACUUGUGCUAAUACCGAAUGUGCCCUUCGGGGGAAAGAUUUAUCGCCAUUAGAGCGGCCCGCGUCUGAUUAGCUAGUUGGUGAGGUAACGGCUCACUAAGGCGACGAUCAGUAGCUGGUCUGAGAGGAUGACCAGCCACACUGGGACUGAGACACGGCCCAGACUCCUACGGGAGGCAGCAGUGGGGAAUCUUGCGCAAUGGGCGAAAGCCUGACGCAGCCAUGCCGCGUGAAUGAUGAAGGUCUUAGGAUUGUAAAAUUCUUUCACCGGGGACGAUAAUGACGGUACCCGGAGAAGAAGCCCCGGCUAACUUCGUG
rnacentral:rRNA from 1 species